rnacentral:rRNA from 1 species
GACGAACGCUGGCGGCGUGCCUAAUACAUGCAAGUUGAGCGCUGAAGGUUGGUACUUGUACCGACUGGAUGAGCAGCGAACGGGUGAGUAACGCGUGGGGAAUCUGCCUUUGAGCGGGGGACAACAUUUGGAAACGAAUGCUAAUACCGCAUAAAAACUUUAAACACAAGUUUUAAGUUUGAAAGAUGCAAUUGCAUCACUCAAAGAUGAUCCCGCGUUGUAUUAGCUAGUUGGUGAGGUAAAGGCUCACCAAGGCGAUGAUACAUAGCCGACCUGAGAGGGUGCCCGGCCCCAUUGGGACUGAGACACGCCCCAAACUCCUACGGGAGGCAGCAGUAGGGAAUCUUCGGCAAUGGACGAAAGUCUGACCGAGCAACGCCGCGUGAGUGAAGAAGGUUGUCGGAUCGUAAAACUCUGUUGGUAGAGAAGAACGUUGGUGAGAGUGGAAAGCUCAUCAAGUGACGGUAACUACCCAGAAAGGGACGGCUAACUACGUG